rnacentral:rRNA from 1 species
AUUGAACGCUGGCGGCAGGCCUAACACAUGCAAGUCGAACGAGUGGCGGACGGGUGAGUAAUGUCUGGGAAACUGCCCGAUGGAGGGGGAUAACUACUGGAAACGGUAGCUAAUACCGCAUACCAUCGGAUGUGCCCAGAUGGGAUUAGCUUGUAGGUUAGGGAACGGCUCACCUAAGCGACGAUCCCUAGCUGGUCUGAGAGGAUGCCCAGCCACUCUGGAACUGAGACACGGUCCAGACUCCUACGGGAGGCAGCCGUGGGGAAUAUUGCCCAACGGGCUCAAGCCUGAUGCAGCCAUGCCGCGUGUAUGAAGAAGGCCUUCGGGUUUUAAAGUACUUUCAGCGGUGAGGCGUUACCCGCAGAAGAAGCACCGGCUAACUCCGUGCCAGCAGCCGCGGUAAUUC